AUGAAGUCUUCGGCAGAGAUGGCAGCAGGUUUGCAAAGUUCCAUGGCCUCACCCACCAACCAGUAGAGCUAGUGAUGGGCAGAUGUGUGCAGCUACCAGCAAAAGGCAAGUUCUGCCACAAUGUUAGCUCAGGAGCUCUUCUUGAUGUAUGUCCUUUUUAAUAAGUCUUAAAAAGAAAUGCAUUUUGCAGGGUGCUGACCACAAGCAUGGAAAAACUGAGCAUGUCCACUCACACCACUAAUGAGAGGAGCACCAAAAAUUGCCAUGGCUAAUUGGAUUCACAGUCCAUCACUAGGCCUUCCUGGUAGGUCUUUAAAGCAAUGACCCAUUUUCAAGUCCAUCUGAUUGCUGACCUCCCAACCACUGCCCAUCUGAAGAAAGGAAAGCCAAAGAAAGCUGAGCAGAGCUCCCUGCAGGAUCCAGGAACAUCUGACUGAAUGGGCCAAUUUUAGGUGCAGUUGAGUGAGGUGGCAGAUGCCUUAAGAUCUUGGUUUCGUGAGACUUUGUGCCCAAGCAGAUGGAGGAGGCCCACGUCUUUACAGCAUGUGCCCUGUCAGCUACCAAAGAAUCAAGUUGUAAGGAACUGUCUGUCUUGAUAUCUGAGCUCACGUGUCAUCUCACCUGCCCAAACCAAACUACAGCGCAGCCACUUGAUCAGCAGAGAUUAGAAAUACGGCACCUGCCCAGGCUUCAUCUAGGGGAAGGCCCAGCUGGUCACAUAUUUAGGCCUGGACUUCGCUUGCUAAGGUAAAAAGGCCUGCUCAGGCUCUUAGCUGGUAUCACUCAAUGAUCUAACAACUCUGGCAUUGAUAUUUAGAGAGCCUCAGAGGGGUCUCUGGUGUUACCCUAAUGACUAACACGCUAACAGCUUUGCAGACGUGCAAGGGCAGUUACCUGCCUCAAAAGCACUCUGAAAAUCUGGCCACACGUGUCUUGUGGUAGGUGCCCAACAAGUAAAACACAAUUAGCGAAUGCUUUAGUGUCUCUUUAUCGCUAUACCACCACUGUAAAAGUGGGAUAAAUUACAUUUGGUGGAUGAAGAUAUAUUGUUUGGUUUAAAGUGGUAUGAGAUCUCUCUGUGAAGUUAUGUUAAAUUUGUUGUACCUCUUAGUAAGAGUGCUGGAGUUGAAAGGGGAGCAGUCUUGGCAUAGGAUGGGAAUGGAGCAGUUGAACUCGCCCACCCCGACCUUGUGCCAUAGAAAAAAUGAAAAGUUGCUUCUGUCUGAGAAAAAAAAGAAAAAAACAUAUAUCCCUGCUGAAGAAAGUCGGGUCCAAUUAUUAAGAUGGCAUUAAUACAGUCUCCCAGGUAACUCCGAAUGCUGAAGAAAAGCAGAGCCUCUGAACUUCAGCCCUUCACUGAUAUGAAGGAGUGAAUUUCUUUUAUUAACAAUCAGAACAGCUGUGCUACCCUGAGACAAUGCAAGUCUUCCCCAUGAAGGAAGUGUUUUCAGUCUGGCACAUAUUUUAUUGAAAUACAGUGCUCUUUCAGAAAGAAACCAUUGUAACUACCGAAGUUCUGAAAAACAUUUGCGGAAAUGUUUGUGAAGUCUCAACGGACUAGAGGCAAAAUUGGUUUGGGGAAAUGACAAAUGACCAUUAAUCCAGGAAACUCUGGCCCUUUAAUGAAAUGACUUAAAGGGCAACGCAGGAAAAAUGAUCAAAGGCAGAUCCUUUCUUAGUAACUACAAAUGUGGAGAAAAGAUAAGAGCGAACAAGUGUCUGAUUGCCUCUUACAACGAGAUUAUUACUCUCUGUGAUCAUUAGAUAUGAAUGAGGUCCUUUAAUCACUGUAGCUAGGUCUGGUCAUUGCCCAUUGGGCAAAUUCUAACUGAGUUGUUAGUGUAAUUUCUUUAAUAUUAAUAGAGGUAUUCCCUCUCUCACCAAAUAACUUAUGAUCUGUUUGGACUCAUGGUCUUGGCAGAGCAAUGGGAUGAUUUUGUUUGAGUUUUUGGCCAUUUCCUGUGGCUAGUGAGUGAACACUGAUGCCCUUGCCGCUUUGAAGUUUUUGGCAAAGCAGUUUACCUAUAUGCAAAGUUCAUCCUUUAUCCCUUAUUUUCCUUAUCUGUACAGAUAAUAGCCAUAAAAUAACAUAUUAAACUUGAAUCCUGAGACAUGCUUACAUCCCAGUGGUCAGGCCCAAGUUUGGUGCAUAUAGUCACAGUUUAUAUGUGACUUAUAUGAGUUAUGGAAUUACCUAUUUCUCUUAUAUUAUGUUCCUCUUUCACUUAAAAAAAAAAAAAAAAAAAGUAAUAAUCAACAUGCAAAUAAGUUCAUUAUUUCCUCCCAAGUUUGCAGACAAUCUGAAACCAUAAUUCUGAAAGUGGAAAAUUCCCUCUGUGUUUCUGAUACCAUCUCAACACAAUAAUGUCAAUAUAUUGGAGGAGGACAAGGAGAAAAGGGAGUUUCCUAUAUUUAGCACUCAAGAUGGAAAUACUCCUCUGGGCAAGUAAGAGAACAUACUGAAGGCAGUGGAAAUAAAGCUGAUACUGAAGUGGCA
rnacentral:lncRNA from 1 species